AUUAAAUAUAAAAAUAUAUGUUCCACUUGUUGUUCCAGGCGUUCCAGCGAACCCACAUAUUACGUUAUUUAAAAUGUCUAAGGCAAGAAUAAAGCUGAAUGAUAAUAGUUUUGACCGCACCACUGCAGUUAAAGGAAGAUGCUGUUAACGGUAAGAGAGGUUAAGGGCAGGAGACGACGAAACACAGGCAGUAGGCACCUGUCAGUUUCACUACGGCGACCAGUCUCUUGCAACACCCACGCGGGACGAAUGCAUUUGAACCAUGUUAUUUGGAUUGCGACAAGUAGUCGGCGAAGGGGAGAAGAAUAAUAAUAAGAAUAUUUCACGGACGACGAACGGCGUACAAUUGAGAUUAAUCAAAUGUCCAAACAUUUGUUGUUCUCCAGCAAAAAUAUUAUGUAGAAAUGAUCUUAAGCAACACGAGCGAGAGUCGUCAAUAUUUUGUUAUUGCUUUCAAUAAAGAUCGAAAAAAUUGAAUCAAAAGACUUAAAACGAUUGAAGCGUAGUGUGUUGUCAUCAGGCAUACCAGGAUAAUAGAAGUAUUUGAAGUUUUGACGCUCAAGGAGAGUCUUACACACGUCUGAUUUGUAUAUAAUAACGUGACUACGAUACGGAGCUAUACGGGAACCGGAACUGGCGUAUCAAAGGACACACGUAUUCGUUUAUACAUUUAUUAUAUUAUAUAUUAUUAUUAUUGUAUAAAAGUUGUUCUAUAAUCAUUAUUUCAAAAAGUACCAAUAUCUUAAAGAAAUAACUUAAGCAAAAUAUUUUUUUGCAGUAUUUCGAUUUAUAAUUUUUCUAAUUUUGAACAAGCAUACUAAAUAAAUAAUUUCACAGUACUUAAAGUUUAAAUUGGCGGAGCAGAUAGUUGAGCC